rnacentral:rRNA from 1 species
UACGGAGGGUGCUAGCGUUGUUCGGAAUCACUGGGCGUAAAGGGCGUGUAGGCGGUUUGUUAAGUCUGAUGUGAAAUCCCCUCGCUCAACGAGGGAACUGCGUCGGAUACUGACAAACUUGAGUACCGGAGAGGAAGGUGGAAUUCCCGGUGUAGCGGUGAAAUGUGUAGAUAUGUGGAGGAAUACCGAUGGCGAAGGCAGCCCCCUGGGAUAACACUGACGCUCAUGCACGAAAGCGUGGGGAGCAAACAGG